AUGCCGAAGGUCGGCAGGCGGCGCACGGGGGAGAAUCCGGAGAAGGAGAGAGGAGCGGGAGGCGGUGGCGCACAAGGCGAGAAGACGCCCAAGGCCGGCAGGCGACGCACGAGGGGGGAUCCGGAUCUGGAGACGGAGAGGGAAGCCAAGAAGAGAAGCCUGGCAGAAGAGGCCUCUCCUUCAGCGAUGUUUGCGGCCUUUGAGCGUGGUGAUGCCCCUCAAUCCGAAGCAAAAUCAGAGCGUGUCUAUGAUGUGGUCGAGUCCGUGAUGGAGGAAUCCUCCGGUUCCCCCAUUCCUCUGCUCCACGAACCCUACAUCCCCGACGAGCUAGCUUCCCAUCCGGGCAUACAUCACGCCUUUGAGCUUGCCGAAGCCAAAUACAACGCAGAAAAAGAUCAUCGGUAUGCUUUGUUCACCAUGGCUCGCGGCCCUCCGCACUCGUGUCUGUUUAAUGAGCGGAGGCUUCUUCCAAUCUGUGAAACCGCAAAAGACGCGGUGCUUCUUGUAUCCGGAUCCGUCAUUAGGCUCUCCUCCUCUCUCGGCCGCGUGCCACUGAAUAAGUGCUGUGGGUUGUGGUUCCAACAGGAUGAAGAGAAGAAAACCGCCAUUGUUUUGACAUCUGCGCAUCUGGUUCGCAAACAGGAUCCCUCCGUGAUGAACCAGUGGACAGGAAAAUAUCACCGUGAUGCUCGGGUCAUUGUUCACUUGCUUGAUGGCACAACUGCAAGAGGCAGUCUCCUGUACCUCCAGGAGCAUUAUGAAAUUGCUCUUUAUGAGGUUACAAUGCACAAACCUGUUGAGUUGCCCACUUUUAAUGACACGGUGCAUUCGGGUCAAGAUGUUUUCAGACUUGGAAGAGAUGAUGAAAGUUUGGAUUUGAAGAUAACUCAUGGUAGGGUGGAAUACAAAAUCCCAGUCCGACAUGAGAGAUGUCACUACCUGUAUUUUUCCUCUGAUGAAUCUCGUCACCGUUUGUUGCAUGACGACGGAGGGCCUAUCGUUGAUCUAGAAGGGAAGGUUGUGGGACUGGUUAACAAUCAUAUAAAUGAGACUUUUGUGCCUUCAUGCAUAUUACACAAGUGUUUGGAUUUCUGGAGGAGUUUCAAGUGCAUGCCUCGGCUGCAUCUUGGAAUGACCUUUACUUCCAUCAACCUUUUAGACCCUGUAUGUAUCGAGAGGAUGAAGCGUAAGCAUAACAUUGAGUCCGGUCUCAUUGUUCAACAGGUGUCAAAAGGAUCAUAUGCCGAGAAACUGGGAAUCCGCAAAGGUGACGUUAUUGAAGGUUUUAAUGGAAAAUACGUUUCUACGACGAUUGAGUUGGAGAGCAUGUUGGUAGACAUCUGCUGGGAUCAUUUUGAUCAGAGAAAUAAAUUAUAUGCAGAAAAAGAUGUUUCAGUUCUUAUAUAUAAUGCUGCCAAACUUUGCCGAAGAACUAGAAAUUUGACUGUAGUUGUAUCAGAUUUUGGAGAGGAUAUUAUAGAAGGCACUUAUGCUAUCACGAUUGAAUAA
rnacentral:rRNA from 1 species